CCUCCCUUUCGUUUUGCCCAUCUGUCCACACACUUUUUGGAGCAAAUGUACCAGAGGAAGAGAGAAAGAUAACUGAUCGCGAUCCACUUCCGGGUUCGUGGAACGCAAAAUGGAACGCAUACGGCGCACGUGAUGACGUCAUCCGGCUUGUUGCCGCCGAAACGGAAAUUGAACACCGGCCGAAAAUCUCUGAAUAAUCAAUGGGGGAUGUAUAAAAGGACUGUGGGAGGGAUAUUUUUGAUUGCUGCUAUUACUAUUACUGUACUUUAUUUCACCAAGUCCCUGAG